ACCGUUUUCCAGCUUGGUCUCUUUCUUUGCCUCCUUCUCCUUCUUCUCAGACUUUUUACGGAUGCGUAGGGACGUGUGCCAGGAUGAAGACUUCCUGCUGGGACAACAAAAGGGAUCCAGUCAAAUCACACUGACACUGAGAGCUCUUACUUGAUGGAUCCUUCGGGGCAAUCAGGGACUAUGGCAGAGGUGUGUCCCAGCACAAAUCCGGGGAUCCAGCCCUCGGCGGCGGGGCCCUGCUCAGUAGCCGCCCUGAACACCAGGAACAUGUUUUGCUGGUUGCUGGCCAAGAUCUGGACCACCUCACCCUGAAUGACGCUGAUCUCAUCCUCCUUCACUGCCAUGUAGUCCUGGGUCACCAACAUGGUGGAUACGCUACUGCUGCUGCUACUUUCACUCUGCACACCACAAGGGAGGAAACACGGGCACGUGGGAAAUUCAGAAUGUAACUACAGCAGAGACAGAAACAAAAUUCCAGACAUGAGGGAAAGUCACAGCGAAUUCCCCAAACACCUCAGUGUCUGUGAUGCAGAUGAAGGAAGCGGACGUACUGUCUUUUCUUGAGGACGCUGGUCCUGCGUUCGUCCAUCUCUUCCAUGGGGGAGGAGGAGGAGAGGAGGGAGUUGUCAGAGGGGUUGAAGGAAGGAGAGCUGCUGUCUCCCUGUUCUACUGACAGUGAGCUGGGUCUGUCCUCCAAAGCCUGCACCAGGGAAAAACAGACGGUAAACUAAAUGCUAACUCGUGUAAAAGUGACAAAUGUCUUCAGCAUAUUCAGGCAGUCAGCUGAUGCCAUAAUCCACAUGCUGGCAAGGUUUCCUGCAUGGGUUCUCGUUUUCCUCUGUUAUCCUACCAUCUUGCUUUUGACCAGCUCCUCGAUGGCGCUCACUAACUCGGCGGCACUGGGCGUCUCUGAACUGGAUGGACGGACCGACAACCGAGAAGAGGUCUGGGUAAAAAUAGAGAGUUGAGAGGACGGGAUGAGGGUGGAGGGAAGAAAAAAGAGCAUUAGAACCUGGUAAUACAUACUAUCUAACAACUACAUCUGCUAACUCUGCUCUUCAGCUGGCGUCAAUACAACUCCUACAGAUAAUGUAACGUAGCGUUUAAUGUAACCAGACUAUAGUUUAACUGAUACAAGCUUUACUUAAUCAGUCAUUUAAAGAGAUGUGACAACUACACUUGCUAUGUAAAACAACAAUUUCUUCAUCUCUAAAACAGAUUAUACUCCUGUUUUGUGUGAAAACUUGACCCAUGACCUACAUGUACUGUAAGUUGGAAGAGUCUAUAAAUGGAUAGCAAAAGAAAUAGCUUAAUAUUAUUUUUUGGUUAAAGGUCAUGCUUAUGUUUGGGUUAAGAUUAAUUUCAAGCUUUUGUUUAGCUUGUUUCUUAGUUAGUUUUAUUAUAAGCAAAUGUUUUAAUUUAGUUUUUUGAGUGAGCAAUGACUUAGUGAAAAAGAUGUUUCCAGAAGUGAAACCCCAAUGCUGGGGGUUUAUAUCUAAAGGUUCAGAGAAAGUGAAAAAGAAAAGUAUAUGUUAUUUAACAAAAAAAAACUCAAUGGAAAGGUAAAAACAUGAGGCUGAAAGUGAACAAAAUGAAGAAGUGGGAAAAAAGUGUCAAAAUGGUGAUGGGGAGGAUGGCUGGAGAGGGUAAAAAAAGUCAUGUUUUGAAAGGAAGAUGUUUCCGGUGCUUUCCUGUGAUGAUGAACAGCCUUUGAAAUAAUGAAAAUAAAAAAGGAUGCUAACAGAGCGAGAAUGAAA